AAACUUGACUGCGCGCUCUGCUGUAACGAGCGGGCUCGGAGGUGCUCCCGCUGCUGUCAUGGUUGGUUCGCUAAACUGCAUCGUCGCUGUGUCCCAGAACAUGGGCAUCGGCAAGAACGGGGACCUGCCCUGGCCACCGCUCAGGUAAACAGAAUCUGGUGAUUAUGGGUAAGAAAACCUGGUUCUCCAUUCCUGAGAAGAAUCGACCUUUAAAGGAUAGAAUUAAUUUAGUUCUCAGCAGAGAACUCAAGAAGCCAUGAAUCACCCAGGCCAUCUUAAACUAUUUGUGACAAGGAUCAUGCAGGACUUUGAAAGUGACACAUUUUUUCCAGAAAUUGAUUUGGAGAAAUAUAAACUCCUGCCAGAAUACCCAGGUGUUCUCUCUGAUGUCCAGGAGGAGAAAGGCAUUAAGUACAAAUUUGAAGUAUAUGAGAAGAAUGAUUAAUAUGAAGGUGUUUUCUGGUUUAAGUUGUUCCCCCUCCCUCUGAAAAAAGUCUUUUGUUGACUUUAGAUCUAUAAUUAUUUCUAAGCAACUUGUUUUUAUUCCCCACUACUCUUAUCUCUAUCAGAUACCAUUUAUGAGACAUUCUUGCUAUAACUAAGUGCUUCUCCAAGACCCCGAUUGAGUCCCCAGCACCUGCUAGUGAGCUGCCAUUCCACACCCAUCACAUGUGGCACUCUUGCCAGUCCUUGACAUUGUCGGGCUUUUCACAUGUUGGUAAUAUUUAUUAAAGAUGAAGAUCCACAUACCCUUCAACUGAGCAGUUUCACUAGUGGAAAUACCAAAAGCUUCCUACACGUAUAUCCAGAGGUUUGUAGGUAAAUGUUGCCACCUUGUUUGUAACAGUGAAAAACUGAAAACAACCUGGAAGUCCAGUGAUGGGAAAAUGAGUAUGUUUCUGUCUUAGAUUGGGGAACCCAAAGCAGAUUCCAAGACUGAAAUUUCAGUGAAAGCAGUUUAUUUGCUA
rnacentral:sRNA from 1 species